AAGUCAUAGAACAAGCCAGUAAGCAGCAUUCCUGCUUGGUCUGCUUUAGUUCCUGCCUUGACUUCCCUAAAUGAUAGAGCGUGACCUGAGUUUAAGAUGAAAUAAACAUCCCCUCCUCAAGUUGCUUUGGAUAUGGCCUUUAUCACAGCAAGAGACACGGAACUCAGACACCCUGGAACUGAAGCUGCUAUGUAGGCAUUAGGUACUAUGUACUAUGUACUAUGUACUAUGCUAUGUAGGCAUUAGGUACUAGGAACUGAACCCAGGUCCUCUGGAGAACAGCCAGUGCUUUCAACCAGAGUCAUUUCUCCAGCCCAUGCAGUUGUUUAAAAAGCACUAGCACGAUCCUGUCAUCUUCUGGCUUUUAAUCAUGUAAAGGCUUCUCAAAGUCCUGGCUUACAAGGUCAACCUCAAGCCCCUCUCCUUCUGCAUUUGCUGCUAUUACACUCUACUUCAGACUCUAUACUCACUUCCCCACCUACAGGCUAUUCCACUGCUUGAACUCUUCCCCGACUGUGGCUAGCAUCGCCAGACAACAUCAGCACACUCACAUGCUGACUUCAACAGUUGAAAUUCCCAAGAAGAGUUGACAAGGCACAAUUUCUCCCUCACAUUAUUUGCAAUAGGUACUUUUCUACUUUACUGGAGAUGUUUUCUUCCUUUCCCAUCAGACAAGCUAAAGAUUCUCUGUCUUUGUCUGUCUGUCUGUCUGUCUGACACACUUUCAUAUACAAGUACUUGUUCAUACAUGCAUGCUUUUCUGUAGCAGCAAACAAUUCAAGAAACCUUUAUCAACCUAUAGUGCCCACUAACACAUGUGAGAAAACCAUUUCUCUGCCCUCUCACCCUGGAUCCUUUCUGUCAGUAUUUGCUUAGCUUUCAGUCUGACAGUGUGCGUGCUGAUAGCAGCUCUACAGUUUUCCACUGUUCUAAGGCAGAGGUUAAGAGGCCAAGUGCAAGUACAUACUGCGAGUACACAAACGCUCCAUCCUGCUUCUACGGACAGCCAUACCCAUCUAGGGAACCUUCAAACUUAGCAGUGUCUUUAGGGCUGAAAGGUCUAAUGCUCUUAUUUCCAGAAUAUUUGAUAACAAAGGAAACUUUUAGUCAUUGUUGGUUGUAUGAAGAAAACAACAAAAGCCACUUCAUUCCUUUUUGAAAUAUUAUCUGGAACACAGAACCAAAACUACAGUGUUCUCCACGAAUUUAUGUAACAGAGAAGAACACUGCCACUGACUUAGUGGCUCUCUGUGAGUAACUGAACCCUGGGCAUAAAUGCAGGCAGUUCUCAGCACGGGUCACACCUGCCACCCUUCCUGCUUCAUCCUCUAAGGCCUAUGUUCAUGUACUUACCCGUUGUGUGUGAGGGUUUUCUGGUUCUUGCCAACCACCACUAGCUAGAAAAUAAACAUUAAACAGUAAUUUUACCUUUUUAUUUUCAUAAAAUGUUGCCAUAAAGUAAAAACAUAAAAAGCACAGAAUUUCCAAGAAAGAACACCAGAAACCUUAUGGACUGACACGCUAAGAAGAGCUCCCUGCAAGCCCCUUUCUUUCCAGUACUAGGGACUGAACCUAAGGCUUUGCCCACCAUUGACCAAGCCUUUUAAACAACUCAGGUAGUCAAGUUUAUGCAGCAAGAGCUUUUACCCACUGAGCCAUCUCAUCAGUCUUAUUUCUAAAUGUUUAAGACACAAUCCUGUUAAGUUGCCAGAGCUGGCCCUGCUGUGUCCCAGGCAAGUGUAGAUUUUGUAAUCCUCCUGCCUCAGCUUCCUAAGUAGCUAGGAUUAUAGGCCUAGGCUACAAGUCCAGCAGAACCUUUUCUCUUUAACAUGAGGAGGGCGCUAAUGAUCACCAACAGCACCAGCAACUGAAGCACAGGGGCUGUUCCAGGCACCAGAAAUACUCCAGUCUUUCCGUUCUCAUAGUACAUUCUGAGGUCGAGUACUCUAACUGCUCCCAUUUUAUAGAGGAGAAAGCCAAAGCUCAGAACUGCUUACAGGUCUAACGGUACAUGGAUAGUAAGUGGCAGAGUCAGGAAACCAACUCAGGAAGCAGGCAGAAUCUAGAAAUCCUGCUCUUAUCUGCAGAAUGAUACAGAUUCUAAAUAAGCAGUGCUGUAGUAACUGGAUCUGCACAGAACAAAUCCCCCAACCUCAAAACCCUUGAGCAUUAAAAAAUGUGCAGAACUUAUCUGAGAAAUAGACAACAGGCGGGAACCUAAAACUAACAUUUCUACAAGCAUACAAGUAGACCUUCACAAGUGGAUUAGGCUAAAAUCUCUUUGACAGGAAACAAAAUACAAAAUAUAAACUCUCUCUCUCUCUCUCUCUCUCUCUCUCUCACACACACACACACACACACACACGACACCAAGUGGGCAAAAGGAACCAGAUAUGGUAGUUUAGUAUGUGUCUAUAAUUCCAGUAUUUAAGAAGUAGAGGCAAGAUGACCUUUUUUUGUUGUUGUUUC
rnacentral:lncRNA from 1 species